rnacentral:rRNA from 1 species
CAACCAAAGCUGGCGACCGGCGCACGGUGAGUACACGUAUCAACCUGCCUCAUACUCGGGGAUAGCCUUUCGAAAGAAAGAUUAAUAUCCGAUAGCAUAUAUUUCCCGCAUGGGUUUUAUAUUAAAGAAAUUCGGUUGAGGAUGGGGAUGCGUUCCAUUAGUUUGUUGGGGGGUAACGGCCCACCAAGACUACGAUGGAUAGGGGUUCUGAGAGGAAGGUCCCCCACAUUGGAACUGAGACACGGUCCAA